rnacentral:rRNA from 1 species
UACGAAGGGGGCUAGCGUUGCUCGGAAUCACUGGGCGUAAAGCGCACGUAGGCGGACUCUUAAGUCGGUGGUGAAAUCCUGGAGCUCAACUCCAGAACUGCCUUCGAUACUGAGAGUCUCGAGUCCGGGAGAGGUGAGUGGAACUGCGAGUGUAGAGGUGAAAUUCGUAGAUAUUCGCAAGAACACCAGUGGCGAAGGCGGCUCACUGGCCCGGUACUGACGCUGAGGUGCGAAAAGCGUGGG